CUGGCGCGGAUUUUAGGGACUUCCUGGGAUGCGGAGAUCGGCUCUGAACCAUCCCCUUUCUGCUGCCCGGAGCUGGGGAAGCUCGCUGUGGAGCGUCUCGCACGUGGCAGGCAGGCAGAGAACUUGCUGCACCUUCUAGGAAAUUGCAAUCGAUUUGUAAUGCACUUUCGCUAAUUGGGAGUUCAAAAUUAAACUUUAAUAAAGCAUUCGUGUCGUCUCGUCUAAUUGUGAAAGCUUCCAUCCGUCCUGGUAGAUAGACUCUAAGUCUCAAGUUAAUGGCGCUAAGCUAGAUUUUCCCCCCAAGUACAAUUCCGUCAGCCGUCGUCGGCGCAGCUGGAUUUCCGUAAGGUACAGAUGUUGCUAAUGACAGCUUAAGCACGGAUGGGCAGAUAGCAUACGGAAUGCAACAUGUUGCCAUAUGGUUCCUUUAGCCUUUCACCUCCAGGGAUAUCAAUCACAUAUAUUCUGGGAGGAACUUAAUGACUCUCUGAACAGCAAAAUGAAUUACCUGGUACAAUUUAUAUCCCUUGACCUGAUACGUUAUAACAACAGGAAGAUAGCAUCUCGCAAUUUCUGUGGUAUAAAUUGAACUACAGAGCUACAUUUAAAAUUCUACAUCUAUUUGUAGUUUAAGGGGCCCUGUCAUAUUCUGGCUGUAAAAUCUGUUUCUGUAUUGCCCAUCUCCUUCCCCCUCCUACCUCUGGAGGAAGCAAAAUUUAUAAAGUUUAGCAAAACUGGUGUCGGAAAUUGCCAGUCAACUGAUUAAUAGAUGAAGUAUGGAGAAAUGGAAAAUAUGACUUCCAGAGCUACUUACUUCAACAAGAAUUAGCCAUCUUUAGGAACACCAUACUUUUAAGCGUACAAAAUUAAAGAACUCCAGAAAAUGUAUUUUCUGCUAGUUGUUUCAGUAUAGCUCCUAAAUCUAUUCAUUAACUAUUUGAAAUUCUCCAUUUAUUUUCAAACUUCAACCAUUCCUACACUUUGGAAAUUACAGAAGACAGUUCUCAGAAAUAUGAAAUACAGGAAAUGUAAGUAGCACCUCCUCAGCGAACCAGUUUCUGUACCCACAACCCCAUGCACUCACUAUUUAUGUAGCUUAAUUUGAAUCAUGUACAUGGUGGUACUGGUAGUUUGCUUUUUCCUCCCAACAUGUCAGUGACAGCAUACUUAAGUUGCUGCUUCUCUCCUAGUGGAGUGAUUCUGCAAUAUUUCACAGGUCUCAUUUUUAAAUAUCCUGGUGACUAAUAAAAUGUUUUAAUUGAUUGCCUUUAAUUUCAGAUUAUAAACGUGGUUGUCUUACUGUAUCCUUUAUUUUCUAUUCACUAAUACAGAUAGAUCACACGGGAAGACAAUACUUUAAGGGCAAAAAGUAAAAUAACUUACUAGAAUUUCUAAACUUUAUGUUUACUUUUACCUACUAAGGGAUAUCUGAAAGGUAGAGACAUACUUUUAAAACUUUUUGCUUCUGGCACUAUGUAAACAUUAAUUCAUGUAAACUAAUGACUAGCAGAAUGCCUAAGAUAGACAUGAACAGUCUGAAAAAGUAUUUACUUUCAGUCAUGUCAAGUUUCGGAAAGUGUUAACAUUUUGAAAGUUUGUCUAUAUAUCAUGUCCUUUCAUAAUUAUUGUGAAAUUAUAAGACGAUGCUUCUCCUUUUUUUUUUCCUUUGUAGUGGCUGAUUUGUUACCUAGUGCUUUAGUUCGAUAAUUUUGAUAAUUAUUAUCAAAUAAGAUCCUUUGUGUGUGUAUAUAGGAGAAAAUCUUAUACAGAACACAUUAAGAUAUACAUAAGUUAUGGCAAUCUUGUCUUCUGGGGCUGUUUUUUAAAUCUUUUAAUGGCUGAGGUUUUAUUUCUCUUUGUAGCACCAGCACUCGAUGUGUCUUAAAUGUGAUCAGUAGUGAUGGUGAGCUUGUCAAUAAUGACUCCAUCUCCAUGACUUGUGAAUAGGCGGUGAGUGUGUCCUUUAAUCAGUCACACAGAACUUGCUUUAUAAAGCUGUUAUUGUCAUGAACAGAUAUUGCAGUCUUGUCAGGCCCAGUGAUUAUUAAAGUGUUCCUUCUUCAAAAGCCAGGCCGAAAGUCCUGCUGUGCUUCAUUUCACAAUUGAAGUCCAUUAGUAAAUAAAAUCCCAAGCCGCACGAUUUGCUGUUCCUCAAGUUAUAGGCUUACAUAUAUUUCAUUAAUAAUCUUGGGCCCUUUUGUAGACAUAAGUAGGUAUAUUUUUGGUAUAUAUAUAUGGCAACAAAAAUAAAAUAUGUAUCUUGCAGCAUGACUUUUAUUUUAAAUGAAGAUUUGAUGGAUGUCCAUUGUUACUCUAAAUGAGGUGGCUGGCUGCCAAGGGAAACCCUACAGUCAGAAAGUACUAGAAUUGUUACUAUCUACAGGGAAUCACUUUCUAUUUUUUGAGUUCUCAACUUCACCUCCUCCUUUCAAUAGUGCCCCUCCAUAUUGCUAAUCUGAGAAUUAGUCUGAAUAUGAAAACUUUUGAAAAUAUGUUUGUGUUGUCCAAGAAAAAUUUCACCAGUGUUUCUGGUUGCCUGCUGGUUUUCAGCCUUUAUCUUGAGUGGGCAUGUUUAUUCUAACUGAAUGAAGAAUGACUAUUGAAUUAGGUAUAUUCCCCAUGCCAAAUAAUUUUAACUGUGAUGUAAUCCUAGCCGCUUUCUUAUUUUUACUCCCGAAUAAAUUUAAAAUAUUUAAGAUUGGCCAGGUGUCUGUUUUUCUCAGGGUAACAUGGGACAGCUAUGGAUAGGCAUUAGGCCUCUCAUAGAACUCUUCAUUCAAGUGAGUGUGGCUGAGAGGAACAACCAGGAAAGAGUAUAGUGCCCCAUUGCACUUGCCCUGUUGGCUUUUCAAAUGCAAAAUCCACGUUGUUGCAUUUGGAAACUUGUUUCUCUGUUUUAUGGUAUUUCAUUUAAGAAUUUUUUUUAACUGCCAGUCUGUAAAUAUUUAACCAGCCAAGCAGGAAACAGCCUUUUAUUCUCGACUGUAUACAGCUUUUGUUUUUAUCUGGGUUAGCAUGGGUGCCAUGUAAAUACCAUAUAAAAUUUGACUUUGGUUGUCCUUACUUUGAAGAUUGACAGGGGUUUCUUUAAUUAAUCUUGUUUCCUUUCAUGUUCUGUAUUGAGAUAUUGAAAUACAGUAUUUUAUACAUUUAUAGGAUUGUGUUUGCAUUUAUUUAAUUUAUGUUUCUUUUUUUGAAGCAUGUAGCCUUGAAUGUUUGUUCUACCCUUUUUUUUUUUUUCACAUCAUUACUCUGGUGCUGCUUGAUGUAACUUGAUUAGCUCCCUCCCCAGUCAUGAUUGGUAAUUAAAAUAGGCAUUAAAAUUAGUCACUUAGCAAUUUUGCUGUUCAAUUGGCAAUUAAAUUACUUAAUUGCAAUUAAAGUCCUAAUUUUAAUUGGCAAAAUGAUAGAUGUAGAUUUAAGAUAAUAUGUAUAAAUACUUUAAUAAGUGUCUAUAUAAGGAUUACUUAAUUACUCAACUUCAAGUUUAUGCUGUUAACUUUAGAACUUUUAAGUGAGCAAUGAAAUUUAUAUUACAUCUAUUCAAAGGAUAUGGUAAUUAGAUUUAUUACUUAUCACUAUAAGGGUCCUUGCUUUAAGUUACUUUUGUAGUGUUAAAAUUGUAGGCUUGAUAAUUGCAGAAUUCUGAUGAGAAAAAGGGCAUAUAUGUCUCUGUUGCAAUAUUAUCAAUACCUUCAUUUUUAAAAUUAAAUUGAGACAUUCCAUCCACCAAUUAGUCUGAGGAAAAAAUCAAAAGUGGUUAUUUUAUCAUUAAAGAUAGAACAAAAACUAGCCAGCUUGUGAUUUACAUAUAAAAACUUGCAAAAUGUAUGUAUUUUAUCUAAAUUUAAAUAAAUGCUAUCUAAUACUGGUAGUGUUAUAAUGCUAUUAACUACUUUUAGAAUUUGCAGAUAUUUGAUGUUUUCUUAGCAUGUAGCAACUUAUUUUCAUAAUCUUUAAACUGUCUUUUAGGACUUUGUACAUUUUAGUGAUGCCUAUGUUUACUAAAAUUAGCAAUGAAAUCUAAAACCAAAGUUAUUCUUCUUUGCCUAAUAAAAAAUAGUUCUUAAAUAAGAAAAUAUUAAGUGGUUAAUUUAAAAGCAAGUAUUUAGGAGAUGGUUACUGGGUGUCAAGUAUUAACAAAAAAUGAAGGAUUUUUAUUAUGCAAAAUACUUUUUGAGUGGCAUGAGGUUUUACCAUAUGUUCAGUUUUAUAAUUUCAAUUUACAAGAAGAUGCUUCCAGAAAAAAGAAUGCUGUUUUUUUUCUGCACAUCUUUACACAUUUCUAGUACUGAGUUCUGUAUCAAAGAAAGAAAUAAUUUUAAAAGUAUUUGUGUUAAGUGGUUUUUGGUAAAAAUCGGCUGAGAAAUACUGAAUAAAAGCUACAACUAUCCAAAAUGUGAAUAUUAACAAAGCAAUUGACUUGUUCUUUAACCAUCCUAUGAGAAAGGAACAAACAAUUUGGUCAAUUACUAUCCUGUCAAUGCAAAUGAAAUGGCAAAAGCAAAACAAUAAAAACACUUUCAGAAGUAAAAACUAAUUUUGUAUUUUCAGAAACAGAUUUUUUUCAAAGUGAAAAUUUAUUUCUUGUAUCAGUAAUGUGACUUACUGCCCAAUGGCAACAAAUGCUGUGAAUGAGUUUGUCCAAAUGUAAUUUAAAAUAUAUAUCUUGUAAUGCUAAAAAUAGGUUCUACAAAGUAAUUUUAUUAUGAAAAAUCUUAAAGUUGCCUCAACUCGUAAAGCAUAACAGGUAUGUCUGUUUCACUAUAUCUGCAUUGUAAGGUCUAUUCUGAAUUCAUUUGGGAAGAAUGGUGAAAUAAAUCCCUAAAGGCCUCUUUCCUAUGCAUUAAAAUAGAAAAUCCUAUGGGAUUACAUUCAUGUUUGCUUUCUAAAUUAUGCCAAAAGCUCAAUUUUAUUAAGUAUAAUCUGCCUAGCCAUGCAUAAAAUAAACUACUUUGGUUUAGAUGUGAGUAUAUGUAUUAUUUAUGUUGAUUUUUAAUGAAAAUAUGUUUACAUGUACCAAUAUGUUCUGCCUAAUAUUGGUUAAUGUCAUAAAAGAUAAUAUAGUAACAUUACUUUCCUAAAUGUU
rnacentral:lncRNA from 1 species